UACAGAGGUCCCAAGCGUUGUUCGGAUUCACUGGGCGUAAAGGGUGCGUAGGUGGCAAGGUAAGUUUGAUGUGAAAUCUCCGAGCUUAACUCGGAAACUGCAUUGAAUACUAUCUUGCCUGAGGGUUGGAGGGGGGACUGGAAUUCUCGGUGUAGCAGUGAAAUGCGUAGAUAUCGAGAGGAACACCAGUGGCGAAGGCGAGUCCCUGGACAACUCCUGACACUGAGGCACGAAAGCUAGGGGAGCAAACAGG
rnacentral:rRNA from 1 species